GCAAGCAGCACACCACUUUCUAUAUUCUUCAGGCACUAAGAAAUAACAUCAGUCAACACCAAGCCAGUUCCAUCGUAUCAGCAGAUUAAUUGUGUAUGGACAGUAUCAUCAGAUAUCUAGAGAGCUGCAGUAUUCCAGCAUUUAAAAAAAAGUGUACAUCCUGUGCAAACGUAUCCUCUUCCUCUUCCUCUUCCUCUUCAAGCAAGCCCAGCAAAGUCAGAGUGAAGUCCAGGCAUUGGAAGGGCACAAGAUGCUUCCGGAUAAUGACAGGCGGGGUAAGAGAACUGAGGCAUGGGGGCAACUUGCCAAGGAUACAUCCCUGGAAGAGCCAAGAAUGAUCCAGUGUCUGGAGUCACAGUGCAGCAUGCUAUUCCUUGUGCCCUACUUGUUAUAAAGGAGAAAAUGCUUGGUGUUUUUGGGACUCAGAUAUUUAUUGUCGGUUGAAAUUUCAUAUUGAUUAAAACAUCUCUUUAGUUUUGGGGAGUCCAGUCCUUUUUGUUCUCAUGGUGUCUGCCUCUCUGAAACUUUGUCCAACAAGAUUCCUUUGCAAGUCAAAUCUUAAAUGAACCAUACAUGAGUGCUGUAAAUUUGAAUGGCAUGCCAUAGCCAUAAAGUUUCUUAUUUUGAGAAGCUUGCAGUCAAAGACCCCAAUUCUACAGAGACUUAGACUCCUGAUCGGUAAUCAUGCACCUUAGUAGUCAUUGGGUGUAUCUACAUGUUCAUUAAUGCACUUUUGGUAACGUGCAU